rnacentral:rRNA from 1 species
UACGAAGGGGGGCUAGCGUUGCUCGGAAUCACUGGGCGUAAAGGGUGCGUAGGCGGGUCUUUAAGUCAGGGGUGAAAUCCUGGAGCUCAACUCCAGAACUGCCUUUGAUACUGAAGAUCUUGAGUUCGGGAGAGGUGAGUGGGAACUGCGAGUGUAGAGGUGAAAUUCGUAGAUAUUGCAAGAACACCAGUGGCGAAGGCGGCUCACUGGCCCGAUACUGAC